rnacentral:rRNA from 1 species
GAUGAACGCUGGCGGCGUGCCUAAUACAUGCAAGUCGAGCGAACAGACGAGGAUCUUGCUCCUCUGACGUUAGCGGCGGACGGGUGAGUAACACGUGGAUAACCUACCUAUAAGACUGGGAUAACUUCGGGAGACCGGAGCUAAUACCGGAUAAUAUAUUGAACCGCAUGGUUCAAUAGUGAAAGACGGUUUUGCUGUCACUUAUAGAUGGAUCCGCGCCGCAUUAGCUAGUUGGUAAGGAAACGGCUUACCAAGGCAACGAUGCGUAGCCGACCUGAGAGGGUGAUCGGUCACACUGGAACUGAGACACGGUCCAGACUCCUACGGGAGGCAGCAGUAGGGAAUCUUCCGCAAUGGGCGAAAGCUUGACGGAGCAACGCCGCGUGAGUGAUGAAGGUCUUCGGAUCGUAAAACUCUGUUAUUAGGGAAGAACAAAUGUGUAAGUAACUAUGCACGUCUUGACGGUACCUACUCAGAAAGCCACGGCUAACUACGUG